GACGAACGCUGGCGGCGUGCUUAACACAUGCCAGUCGAACGGAAAGGCCCUGCUUUUGUGGGGUGCUCGAGUGGCGAACGGGUGAGUAACACGUGAGUAACCUGCCCUUGACUUUGGGAUAACUUCAGGAAACUGGGGCUAAUACCGGAUAGGAGCUCCUGCUGCAUGGUGGGGGUUGGAAAGUUUCGGCGGUUGGGGAUGGACUCGCGGCUUAUCAGCUUGUUGGUGGGGUAGUGGCUUACCAAGGCUUUGACGGGUAGCCGGCCUGAGAGGGUGACCGGCCACAUGGGGACUGAGAUACGGCCCAGACUCCUACGGGAGGCAGCAGUGGGGAAUAUUGCACAAUGGGCGGAAGCCUGAUGCAGCAACGCCGCGUGCGGGAGGACGGCCUUCGGGUUGUAAACCGCUUUCGCCUGUGACGAAGCGUGAGUGACGGUAAUGGGGAAAGAAGCACCGGCGAACUACGU
rnacentral:rRNA from 1 species